rnacentral:rRNA from 1 species
CGAACGACUCCCGGCAACGGAUAUCUCGGCUCUUGCAUCGAUGAAGAACGUAGCGAAAUGCGAUACUUGGUGUGAAUUGCAGAAUCCCGUGAACCAUCGAGUUUUUGAACGCAAGUUGCGCCCGAGGCCACUAGGCCGAGGGCACGCCUGCCUGGGCGUCACAC